ACUACACUUGCUAUUGGUAAACAGAUGUCAUUGGUUGACUCCCCGUGCUGCUUUGAGCACGAUUGGUUAUUCUGACUGUCAUUCAGGAAACUAGCCAAUUAGAGCUGUUCGCGCCCUUCACUGGUUCAUUUUGAACAUACGCGAUGAAGUGAUGUCUGUCAGUUAGUUUCAGUAGUAUUGAUGGUCCAGUUAUAUGUAAACUGGAGACACGAAGUCGUGUGGAAGUUGCAGGCUGCUGGAGAAUAAUCACACGCAUUAACAGCUUUACCAGCGACCAGCAGAAGUACACAGAAAUAUAUGAUAAGAUUUGCCUGGGCAGUACACACACCUGAUGAAGGGAAGAAAAGCUACCCAGGCCCCCAAAAUCCAUCAGUAGUAAGUGUUUAAACAUUCGACCUGAGUAUUUGUAUUAUGUUAUUAUCAAAUGUGUAAUAUUAUGUAUAUGCUUAAUACUGUAAUAACAUCCACGUACAGUUAAACAUUUACACCAUUUGUGAAAGAAAAAUGGUCUAUUCCUUUAAACUGGUCAUUUGUUUUGCUUAUUUAAUGAUGGAAGUUAUAAGACUUACAUUUAAGUUAGCAUUGCAACUUGUUUUCUAACAGUAUAUUCACAUUGCCGUAAUGUAUAAUGAUGGCAGAUUUAGUCCUUUAUCUAACGUUACUACAUUGCAUAUUUGCCACAGACUCAUUUACUUUUUUGUGGUAUGUUUUUACUUAUGUUAUGAUUUACUUAUUCUGACAGUUUGAUGUUUGUCCAAAUAUACUAUCAAAACUUCCGCCAAUAUCUAUUUAUGACCCUGUGUAAAUGUUUUCAACACCACUUGAAACUGUUUUGUAUUUCUCCAGGAUUAAAAGUUUGUUUUAUAAGAAUUUGAUGAAUGUAUUGUAUGGGGAUGUACUUAUUAUUUACUUUAUUAUAUUCAACCAUUUGUUUAAAGCGUAUACUGUUAUUCUGUACUGUAAAGAAGUUAAUCUUUGUGUAUGCCGAG